AGUGAACGCUGGCGGUAGGCCUAACACAUGCAAGUCGAACGGCAGCACAGGAGAGCUUGCUCUCUGGGUGGCGAGUGGCGGACGGGUGAGGAAUACAUCGGAAUCUACUCUGUCGUGGGGGAUAACGUAGGGAAACUUACGCUAAUACCGCAUACGACCUACGGGUGAAAGCAGGGGACCUUCGGGCCUUGCGCGAUUGAAUGAGCCGAUGUCGGAUUAGCUAGUUGGCGGGGUAAAGGCCCACCAAGGCGACGAUCCGUAGCUGGUCUGAGGGGAUGAUCAGCCCUACUGGAACUGAGACGCGGUCCAGACUCCUACGGGUGGCAGCAGUGGGGAAUAUUAGACAAUGGGAGCAAGCCUGAUCCAGCCAUACCGCGUGGGUGAAGAAGGCCUUCGGGUUGUAAAGCGCUUUUGUUGGGAAAGAAAUCCAGCUGGCUAAUACCCGAUUGGGAUGACGGUACCCAAGGAAUAAGCACCGGCUAUCUACGAGCCAGUCACCGGCAUAA
rnacentral:rRNA from 1 species